GUGGGGAAUUUUCCGCAAUGGGCGAAAGCCUGACGGAGCAAUACCGCGUGAGGGAGGAAGGCUCUUGGGUUGUAAACCUCUUUUCUCAGGGAAGAACAAAAUGACGGUACCUGAGGAAUAAGCAUCGGCUAACUCCGUGCCAGCAGCCGCGGUAAUACGGAGGAUGCAAGCGUUAUCCGGAAUGAUUGGGCGUAAAGCGUCCGCAGGUGGCUUAUCAAGUCGAUUGUCAAAGGUCCUGGCUCAACUGGGAAGAGGCAGUGGAAACUGAAAAGCUAGAGUGCGGUAGGGGUAGAGGGAAUUCCCGGUGUAGCGGUGAAAUGCGUAGAGAUCGGGAAGAACACCAGUGGCGAAAGCGCUCUACUAGGCCUGCACUGACACUCAUGGACGAAAGCUAGGGGAGCGAAUGGGAUUAGAAACCCCAGUAGUCC
rnacentral:rRNA from 1 species